rnacentral:lncRNA from 1 species
ACAAUUGAAUGUUAUUUCCUUCCCUCUGCCAGUGUGUUUUAUAUUUCUUUAGAGGUGUUUGUUCAUUAUAUAAUAUAGAAUUUAUGUCAUCCUUAAAUUCAUAAUGCAAAUAAAUUAUAAAGAGGUGUGUAGAUAUAUUCGAAAAACAGUCUUAGUUUCAUUUGCUGGAUUGGGUUUCUCUGAUUUUUCACAUGAAGAAAGCUGAUGACAACUUGAGUUGUUUACAAGGGAAUUGGUCAGAAGUUUUCUUGAAGAAACACAAUAAACCUGAUGAAGGUUAUUAUCAGUGUGUGGCCACUGUUGAGAGUCUUGGAACUAUUAUCAGUAGAACAGCGAAGCUCAUAGUAGCAGGUAAGUUUUAAGUGAUUUUUUUUUUUGCAUUUUCAAAUAUUUAUAACAUACAUCUUGAUAAAAGCACUGUUCUCAUACUCUGUGUAUGGGACCUUGCUGUAGGUCUUGCUCAGUGCCGUAGAGAAUAAACUGUAGCGUGUUUCCACUUGUCUGAUGGCUUAAUAUUGCUAUCAGAAGUACUGAGCAGUUCUUUUCUCCUUUUAAACUUGGAAGUGGCAGAGGAAGUGGUAUAGGAAAAUUAAAUCACUUUGACGGCCAACUUCUAUCUUACCCAGCAUAACCAUUUAGUAUGGUUUUGUAAAACUUGCAGUAAAGUCAGAAUCCUGGUUCCUUGAUGCCUUAACCAAGGAAAUGACAUUCAAUUGGAUUAAUUGUUUUAAAAUCUACAGAGUGUAUAUUACCUACUCCAGGAUUAUGGUUUCCCAUCUCAUGCUCACUCCAGAGUAUGUUUGCUUAUACAUUCAGAGCAUAAUGGCUGGUUUUUUCCCUCUUUGGGGACAAAUAGUCAAAGUUGAAUUUGGGU